AGGGACGAAAGGGUGGACAAGGCUGUCAGAAGCGCCGAACAACCUGGACCAGACUGGCAGACACGUGACGUCAGAGUAAUUGGAUCAUGCGAUAAUUACUUGGUGGAAAUAUAUGUCUUGCGACACAUCAGAUCUCCAGUCAGAAGAGGAGGCAAUUCCUAAAAAGAGGAAGCCAAUGCCGGUCCAUUUCUAUGGAGACUCGGAUGGAGACAGUGAAAAUGAAAAUUCCCCCCACAAAACAGGGGUCCAACCACUAACGGGACAGUUGUCCCUCCAAUCAUUGCCUCCUAACUAUUCCAUGUACUCCAUCACCAGCAGGACAGCGAACACGCCAGGGGGACACGCCCACCUGGCGAGGGGCGUGGUGUGGUUCAGACACCAUUGCCUGCUGUGCUGUUCCAGUUCAAAUCCUAGGCAUGCUGGAGACAAUUACAGAGGUGAGAGACCCGGUUCCGUUUCCGUGUACCACAAUGGAGGAAGUGGACCUUUUUGAGCAACGGCUCAAAGAUCCCGUCAACAUUCUAAUGAGUGAUGCCGUCAGAAAGAAUCAUGCCACACAUGCAUCCACUGAUGAACAGAUUCUAAAGCAUGCCAUUAGGUGGUUCAACCUGGCAGCAAACCGGGGUAGCUCCAGGAGGCGUGCUACUGUCGA